GCCAGAGAGACAGUAGAAAGUAUAAGGUAUGUCAAUAAGUGAAUGCUUAGCAAGCAAACAGGGCAAAGAGACCUAGAGAGUUUGGUGAAAAGUCGAAGUGAACUUCACUGAGAUAAAACCAGAAAAAUAUAAUCACAAGUAUCUCCUAGUGCUUGUAGAUACUUUUUCAGGAAUAGAUAGAAGCUUUCCUCACCAAACGAGAGACGGCCUCUGCAAUCAUCAAGAAGAUACUGGAAGAAAUCUUCCUCUUGGAAUGCCCAAGGUAAUCUGGUCAGACAACGGCCCUACUUUCGUUGCCAAGGUAAGCCAGGGUGUGGCCAAGUAUUUAGAGGUCGAUUGGAAAUUACAUUGUAUUUACAGACCUCAAAGUUCAGGACAGGUAGGGUAAAUAAAUAGAACUCUAAAAGAGACCCUGACCAAAUUAACCAUGGAGACUGGCGCAGACUGGGUGACACUCCUUCCCUCUUGCUCUCUUCAGAGCAAGAAAUACCCCUUCCAGAUUCAGCCUUACCCCCUUUGAGAUCUUAUAUGGGGCCUCAGCCCCCCUGACUGUAUUAGAUGAUGUUACUGAACCAACAUGUCAUAGUGCCAUAGUAAUAAUGAUUUGUGUGCCAGGCUAAAAGACCUACAGGUGAUACAGAAAGAAAUCUGCUCACAGCUGACAGCAGCCUAUGCCCCGGAGACCCCUGAGACAUCCCAUCAGUUCCAGGUUGCAGCUACACUGAGUCCAGACACUCGAGCCUCGCUGGAAAGGACCGUACCUGGUGCUGCUGACCACCCUGACAGCUGUCAAUUCUCAGCCCUCACCAGCCGCGUACUAGCUGUUGGGGCUGAGAGCUGGGACCUAGAGGGAAACUCAGUCAUAUUUGUCCUGGGUUCUAUCAAGAUAGGUGUGGGAUAGGCUUGAUUUCCAUUACAAAUGAUGUAACAUUGCAUAUGUUAGUACUCUUAACACUUCUUGGGACUGUGCCUCAGGGAUCACAGUCCGUAUAAGCUUAGAAGUUCUAAAAGCUAGUCAUGACCUUGGUGGAUAGGCUUGGAUAGUGUCCAGGUUAGAAUCCUCAUGUUAAGACUACAAUACCAAGCUGUUAUGCUAGAUGAAGCUGAGUUCUCCAUGAAGUUCUAGGAUUAGAACUAUUAACAAAAAAAAGAAGAAGUGGGGAAUGAAGGAUUAAAAAUUAAUAAUAAGCCGCCUAGCUACCCAAAAAGAAGAAGUAGGGUCUGUGAGAACAUGAACUUUUCACCCCUCCCUUGCUGUACAAUGGUUCCCGGAACAUUCUUGCAUGAAAAGUUUCCUGGAACAGCCACAAUGACCCAUAGCCUCCGGCCACAAUGGUCCAAUGGCCCUGUAAAAUGUCACUACCCCUAAUCACAAUGUCACAAAGUCCUUAAAUGUAUGGACAGUUUAUGGUUUUGGAAUUCCCCUCCUCCCUCCCUCAUGAUCCC
rnacentral:lncRNA from 1 species